rnacentral:misc_RNA from 1 species
UCCAACGGAGCACGAGCAUGAGCGAAGGUAAAUAAGAAUAAGAGAGCAGCGACGGCGACGGAAAGUGCGACGUUUCGAGACAUCGUUGAAUUUAAUUGAAAAAGUCGAAAGGGUGAGCGAUUUAUUAUGUAGGAGGAGGAGAGGAAAGAACCACAGAGAGAGGUGACGGAGGAGGUUUGACUGAGAGAUGCCUGCUCAACAACUUCUUCAGGGCUUG